rnacentral:rRNA from 1 species
CCUACGGGAGGCAGCAGUGGGGAAUAUUGGGCAAUGGAGGAAACUCUGAACCAGCAACGCCGCGUGAAGGAUGAAGGUCUUCGGAUUGUAAAGUUCUUUUCUAAGGGAAGAAGAAAGUGACGGUACCUUAGGAAUAAGCCUCGGCUAACUACGUGCCAGCAGCCGCGGUAAUACGUAGGAGGCAAGCGUUAUCCGGAAUGACUGGGCGUAAAGGGUGCGUAGGGGGUUCAGCAAGUUAGUAGCGUAAUUCCGGGGCUCAACUUCGGCACUACUACUAAAACUGUUGGACUUGAGUGCAGGAGGGGCAACUGGAAUUUCUAGUGUAGCGGUGGAAUGCGUAGAUAUUAGGAAGAACACCGGUGGCGAAGGCGAGUUGCUGGACUGUAACUGACACUGAGGCACGAAAGCGUGGGGAGCAAACAGGAUUAGAUACCCCGGUAGUC